rnacentral:snRNA from 1 species
AUAUUUUUGAUGUAUUUGUAACUAGCAUAAAUAAAAAACUCUGUUCUUAUCAGCUUAAUAUCUGAUACGGGUUCUAUAUGGACCCACGAUAUUAAACCUAUUUUUGGAAGUUGGCGGAGUGCUUGAAGCCUGCUUCACCUCCGCCGCAGGUCGGCCCGGUAUUGCACUACCUCCGGGAUCGGCCCCGCUCAC